UGGACUUUUGAAAACGAGCUGUGUGAUUCCUGCCAUCUAACCCCUCCUGGCUUCAGUCUCUCCCUUUUGUAAAAGUCAAUAAUAACAAUACCUGGGCCCUACCACAGACAAUGGCCACGGGCACCAAAUGGGAAAAAUGCAUGUAAACUUGAUAGCAAAGAACAAAUUCCUUACCAGACUUGAGAUUUCACCAGUAUCAUUUCCCCUGUAGCUUCAAAGAUUUGCAAACCCAAAUCAACAACGUGGAAGCAGUAACAAGAGACUCUGAAGUGGAGCAACAGGGUAGGGAAAUAGACCCUCGGACCCUGCGUCUGUCACCUGCAUUCAAAUUCACCACUUACUGUGUGAUCCCAAGGCAGAGAAGCCUUUGCUAAUUUCACAACAGGAACGCACACAGGAAAUUCGAGAACAAGGCAAAUCUACACACAGAGCCCAGCAUCUUCAAGCAAACUCACUGAGACCUCCUAUCUCUGAAGUCUUAUGAGCAAGAAUUGCUACACCCAGGCUUUGCCAACAUGACCCAAAUGCAGAUGAGAAACUGACCGAAACAUUUUAAAACUGUGUAUAUGAAGUUAUUUUGAAAUCAGGACAACAGCCAAGCCUCAGAGAGGAAGGUAAGUUCCCAAGUCCCAGGGCUGCCUGUCUGGGCAGCUUCCCCCUCCACAAGGCUGUCACAAACCUUAGCAUUUUAGAUUUGAAAGAGACCUCGGACAUCUAGUCUAAGCAAGGAUAGAGGCGUGGAGAUGUUAAGCUACAAGUUCAUGUUCACAUUGAGAGCAGGGAGCUGGUUGCUACCAUGCUCUCCAGCACUUAAUAUAGUUCCUCCCACGGUGUAGGCUCUCAGUAAAUUUUUGAUAAAUGGUUGAGUUAAUAAACAGCAGCAAAGCAGAACAUAGAUCUGAUUUCACUGAUUGCUAGUUCAUGCUCUUUCUACACUGUUUCUUCAGCAUGAGAGGUGGUAUCUAAAGCCAAUUGCACCAUAAGACAUUUUUCUUCCAAAUAUACCAUAAGCCAUUAAAUUUGUCACCAAUAAAGAUUGUUUUUGACUCUAUAUAUAACAUAUAUUCUCCAUUAUACUUUUAAUCAUACUUCAAUAAAGGCAGGGGCUUUUUUUAGUUUAGGCAUCUCUGCAAUCUGCACAGUGCUCAGCAGCAUAGUAUGUGCUCAAUAAAUGUUUGGUGCUGGACUGCCCUGGUGGUCCAGUGGUUAAGACUCUGCGCUUCCACUGCAGGGGGCAUGGAUUCGAUCCCUGGUCAGGGAACUAUGAUCCCACAAGCCGCAUGGUGCGGCCCCCAAAAAUAAAUAAAUAAAAAUUUUGGUGCUUUAAUACAUCUGGGUCUGUACAAUACUCUUUCUUCACCUUACUAAAGGUUUCAGAUUUACAGCAUUUGCCAUUUAUAAUAAAAACUAAUUAUACUAAAUGAAAAUCCAGUGGAUGCCUUCUCCCGAGCCAGUUUAGACUCCAUUUCUAAUAAUAUUGGUUUGAUAUCUGUGCUAUUGUGGUAAAAAAAUUUUUUACUCUUUUUUUAUUUAAUUAAUUUUAUUGGAGUAUAGUUGCUUUACCAUAUGUGUUUACAAUAUGUAUUUUGUGUUAGUUUCUACUGUACAGCAAAGUGAAUCAGCUAUACGUAUACAUAUAUCCCCUGUUUUUUGGAUUUCCUUCCCAUUUAGGUCACCACAGAGCAGUGAGUAGAGUUCCCUGAGCUAUAUAGUACAUUCUCAUUAGUUAUCUAUUUUAUACAUAGUAUCAAUAGUGUAUAUAUGUCAGGACUUCCCAGGGGUAGAAGGUAAUAAUUUAGUGAAGACCUGGGGGAAUGAGCUGUGUGGUUAUUUAUGUCCUUUUGAUAUUAUUUAAAUGGUUCUUACUCAUGGUUGGUUUCAAGGCUAAAAGGAGACUGCAAAAGAAUGGGGUUUUAUCAUUGAUAGGGGUGUCAGAGGCAUGAUAAAUCAUACUUCAAGAAACAUGUUAAAUGUUGUAUGGCAAUUAACAAAUCUAAUCUCAGGAAUUCAUAGAUUUUUUUUUCCACCAGGAACACACCCAAAUCCCAUCUUCUUACACCUGCUUUAAACUAAGAUACUAAGUCAGUACUCUUUGGUAUUUGGUGUAUGAAUAUUCAACAAACAAAAUUUGCCAGCACCUUUUGAAAAUCAUAUCAAAUUUUCUUGACACUAUUUGACAUUGUACUUUGACAAUCUAUCAGCACCACAUGCACAUCUUAUCAAAAAAAUUGUUUAGAUUAACUCAAUCAUAUUUGUAGUUCUCUACCAUCAGUAAUAACCUCUGCCCCCACUCCACCUGCCUGCUUACAGGUAUUUAGGGAUGAUAAAAACCCCUGUGAGGGAUAGGAAAUAGGGCAUGGGGUGGAUAUAAAAGUACUCUGAGAGUAUUUAGAAUGCACACUGGUUCAGAAAAUGCCCCUUCCCUUCUUUUAGGAGAGGAGUAGGAAAGGCACUGUCUCUCGGAGCAGAGCCAUGGUUCUCAACCCUACCUGCACAUUAUACAUUAUAUGUAAUCACUGCGGGUGCUUUAAAAGUGCUAAUGCUCAUCCCUACCCUCAGAAAUUGGAAUUUGGUCUGGGAUUCAGAUAAGGAUUUCUCAUAAAAGGGCUCAGGUGAUUUUAAUGUGCUGCCAGGGUUUUAGAGUUAAGGAGAUCUAGGUUUGAAUCUUCACUGUGUAAAAUUAGACAAGUUAGUGAGCCUCUCUGAACCUCAGUUUAUCUGAGAAAUAAAGAUUUUUUUAAAAAUCUACUUCAUAGAGUCAUUGUAGGGAAACAAAUGUGUAAGAAAUCCCAACAGAGACCCUGGCACAUAGUUGGCACUCAACAAGUUUGAGUUCCUUUCCUCUUCACUUAUAUGCUAGGUAUAUGGUUCAGAUUAAAUAAAACAUUGUCUUCUCUUCUUGUGUCCCUUACUUUCUCCCCCUCCAAUAUCUUCCAUUUAUUUUUCAGACCUUCUCCCCCUCCCAUAUCUUCCAUUUAUUUUUCAGAAGUAACCCCAGGGCAACUGAAGGGAAUGAGAACAGAAGUCCCUUCCCUCCAACAGCACAUAGUACCUCUCCACCUCCCUUCCCCAAAUUUAAUGUGAUCCUACAUAUUCAACAGCAACUGUGGGACUAGGGACAUGCUGAGAGACGGGAUUGGGGAGUGAAGUAUGACCAAGGGUCACCCAUGCC